AUUGAACGCUGGCGGCAGGCUUAACACAUGCAAGUCGAGCGAGCGGCGGACGGGUGAGUAAUGUCUGGGAAACUGCCUGAUGGAGGGGGAUAACUACUGGAAACGGUAGCUAAUACCGCAUACCAUCAGAUGUGCCCAGAUGGGAUUAGCUAGGAGGGGGGGUAAAGGCGCACCUAGGCGACGCUCCCUAGCUGGUCUGAGAGGAUGACCAGCCACACUGGAACUGCGACACGGUCCAGACUCCGAAGGUAGGCAGCAGUGGGGAAUAUUGCACAAGGGGCGCAAGCCUGAUGCAGCCAUGCCGCGUGUGUGAAUAAGGCCUUCGGGUUGUAAAGCACUUUCAGCGAUGAGGCGUUACUCGCAGAAGAAGAACCGGCUAACUCCGUGCCAGCCGCCGCGGUAAUUC
rnacentral:rRNA from 1 species